rnacentral:tRNA from 1 species
GCGGAUAUGGUGAAAUUGGUAGACACGCACGCUUGAGGGGCGUGUAGAAUAUCUGUGCGAGUUCGAGUCUCGCUAUCCGCA